GCGGACGUCGAAAUGACGGUCAUUUCGGCCUGAAAAGCGGAAGGUCGGCGGUUCGACCCCGCCCCUGCCCACCA
rnacentral:tRNA from 3 species